GGGAGCGGAGCACGGGGUGAUCUGGGCACUAACGCUGAUGGGGAGCAGCGGACAUCAGCCUCGACCUCCCACGAGCGGUGCACGAGCGCCUGACCCAGACCUCGACCCUAGCCUUCACCCCCACCCUGACUCCAGUUCAUGAACUGGUCAAAGGAAGAGCCAUGCCAGCAAACGUCUACACUGUACAUGCUUUUUAUUACAAGACUACGGAGCAUAGGAGGAAAAUUCAUCAUCUGGCAGCCUCAUCUACAACCCUGCAAUUUUGGGCCAGAAGUGGUGGCCCCUCAGAGGCUCUGAAGUGCCUCCAGCCCCGAUUCAGGCACUUGCCACGUGUGCUGCGUAAGAAGGGACCCCACCCAGUGAGUCAACAUAGGCUCAUGUCAAGUUUGAAAAUAACUGGGGAAAAGUGUAUGACAACAUCUUCCAGAACAUAGUACCUUCACCGUAUUCUCACAGCAGCUGCGAUCUCUGAAGUCUCAGCAGUGAGCACCCCGGGUCUGUCAACCAGCCAGGCAAGGGGGGGCCCUCAGGCUUCAGAGGGCAAGAAACCAAAUUCCGUGCAAUUUGGCCAUAAUCUCUGGUAGAGUGAAGCAGCACUGAACGCAGUGCCUAGAAAAACCUCCUGCACGUUCCCCUGCACAAUCAAUGGACCCCAACUACAGUGGAGAAAUGAAGAAUCCAACCAAAUUUGGGUGGUCUGGACUUGCUGCCAGCCAGGCAAUCUGCAACACUGUGGGCAGGGAGAUGGGGGGAGGCGGCCUGAAAUCUACACCAGCUGGGACAACCACGCCCUACAAUGAAAAAGCCAGCCUGGCUGCUGGGCUCUUGUGAACCACUAAGACCUGAAGGUGGGGGGGUGGAAGGGGGAGACAAAUGCACUCUUGUAAAACCCAAUCAGCUACGUGGUUUUUUUCAAGUAGAGGCUUUGCUCUGCUACUGACUCCAAA
rnacentral:lncRNA from 1 species